UACGGGGGGGGGCUAGCGUUGUUCGGAAUUACUGGGCGUAAAGGGCGCGUAGGCGGCCUACUAAGUCGGACGUGAAAUCCCUCGGCUCAACCGGGGAACUGCGUCCGAUACUGGUGGGCUCGAAUCCGGGAGAGGGAUGUGGAAUUCCAGGUGUAGCGGUGAAAUGCGUAGAUAUCUGGAGGAACACCGACGGCGUAGGCAGCGCCCUGGACGACACCUGACGCUGAGGCACGAAAGCUGGGGGAGCGAACAGG
rnacentral:rRNA from 1 species